rnacentral:lncRNA from 1 species
GAAUAAUAUGUCAAACACCUGGGAAGAGGAACUCUUUCUCAUGGGUUCAUGGAAGGUUCACUACAAGCACUGAAGAUAUGUUUGAUUACAUCUAUCAAAAGUAUCUAAACAGUUUAGAACCUGUAUUGGCAUAGUUUUCACAUCUAUUUUUUUAAUGUAGCUUGCCAUUAUUAUUUUUACAGCCCACAGUAGUAAUAGUGGACCCCAGUAAAAUCAAAGCCAUGGUCUAGCCAGAAUCACUCCUUACAUGCCACCCGUCCCUGAUGUACUUGGUACAUAACUGGUUGUUCUAGACAAACCCAAUGAAACAAACAUUUCCCUGAGAAUCUGGACUAGAUGAUUACAUAUUUACCUGUGAUUUAUUAUCCUAUAGAAAACUCUGCUUAGAGCCACUGAGGUAAUCUACAUCCAUUGUCUCUAUCUUGUAAAUCAUUACUAGCCAUUGUCCCUGUGAAAGGCUUACCCAAUCCCUUAGCCUACAUCAUUUUCCCUAUAAAGUAUGUACCCCAAAUCAUUAAACUUUGUCACUGAUCAUCAAGAAGUCUCUGUGUGUCUACCUGUCAUUCUGUCAGUUUGACCCUCCUGUAAUCCCAGGAUCAUUUCUCUCAUCCUGGUUCAUCAACCCACAAGUAAUUUGUUGAGCAGAUCUUGACAGAAGGUGUAGUGUGAAUUUUAGAUUUACUCCACCCUGCUUAGUCUAACAAACAGGAAUGUCUACACCCCUACUUAAGGAUUAAAUGUUGAGAAGGAUGGCCUAUGACAGACAUGUGCUAGCAAAUGACAAAUCAGAAACAACUGACAGAUCCCCUGGGCUGUUUUAAGUCAAGUUUAAGCUACCAUUAGUACAUGUGAGACGCAGGAAGUGAUGUUAAAAAAUGGUCUAUAUAUUUUGUGUCACUUCCUCUCUCCGGGCUCUUUUUUCAUGGAGAGGUGGCUCUCGCUUUUCGCGGUGGAGACAUGGCUUGUGGCAGCAUGCUGGGCAUCUUGGCGUCUUCCUUGCCUGCAGCUCUUGUCCAGGUUUGGCUUGUGGCAACGUUUUGACAUCUUGGCAUCUUGGCUGGGUCAGCUGUGUGGGAGGCAGCAAGACUUUGUGCUAGUCCCAAGAGAGGGUGGAAGAGGAGCAAUGAUAACUUUUCUGAUUUUAGCUGAAGGUGUAUUAUGAGAUAGAAACAUCUAGGCAACUUUGUGAGUUUGUGGGAUAUAGAAUUCCCAUUAGAGUACCCUUUGUGGCAGCAGCAAUAGCCAUCAGAGUGAUAGUAGCCAAAAGCAGUGGAAAUGGUAGGAGAGAAAUGCAUAAAGAUAGUCAACCAAGGACAACAGCAGGUUCAAAAAGCAUUAUUCCUUGUACCAGAAAAGAAUUUUGGCUAUGGACUCUAGAAAGGAAUGCAUCCUGAGAACCCAACUGAGUGGCCCAUUCAGCAAAAGCAAAGAAAAAAAGACUUCCAGAACCAGGUGUUGGAAGGUAUUCCAUUAUCAUAUGUGUUCUCUAAAAUCAUCUCACUACCAUUAUAUUUUAAGUUUGAACCUAUUCUUAAGAUGGAACUAUGUAUAUUGUAAAAAUUUGCCCUGUGUGUUUGUUUUUUUUUUUUUGUGAAAUGUUUUGUACUGACCUUUCUUCUAAUGCCACCUUAGUAAAUAGCAUUGCUUUAAAAAACAAAAAGCAAGUCUGGCUGAAUGCUAGUGGGAAGCACACUGGUCUGGGCUCAGGACCAACAAAGUUAGAAAUAUGGCCCUAGAACGCUGAGAGGUACCUAAGAACACCAAACUGGAAAUGUAAGUGUGAAUUGUUAGACUAGCCCAUAGCAGGUGCUACACUUGGAACAACCUAGUUCACUCCAUUUUCCUGAACUCAGUACUCAGAUCAUUGGCUAGAUGAGUAUAAAAACUUAAGACUUUGUGGAUUCUAGAUGUCCAGAAUUAUGUCCUUUGGGAGAUGUGUGAAGGAGGGGAGUAGGGGGUUGUUAGCAAAUAGUAGAAAUUUGUUUUUCCCUCCCCCCCCCCAAGGUUUAAAUUUAUCUGUUUUCCCUAGGGCAGUGUUGGCAAACAUUUUAGAGAUUGUGUGCCCACAUUGCACCUUCAAGCUGCCUGUGAGUCCCUUGUGUUACCCCAGACAAUGGAGGGAGGAAGUGUUCCCAUUGGGCUGCUGAGUGGAGGUGCUAUGG